GCGACACAGGACAGACACACACACGCAGGUAGGCCUGAGGUCGCGGUGAAUUUAUUUUCUGCUUUUUCCCAUCCUGGAACGUGCCUCCUCCAGGACCCCCCAGAUGCAUUGGGCAUCUUGAAGCGCCCGAGGACCAAGUGAAGUGAACUGUCCAUCUUUGGUCAGGGAUGGACAUGUGUUCUGUUCUUCUUGCAUGUUUUUCUGUUGGGGUUCUUAGUGGAGGAAACCCCUUGUGAACACGGCGAGAACAUGGAAACUCCAGACAGAAAGGCCCGGGAGAGAGCCCACCUGAGCACUGAAGGUCUGGGGAGGACCGCCCCCCCAGAGCCAACAGCACCCCAUGCGGGAAUCGAACCCAUGACCCUCUUGCUGUGAGGCGGCAGUGCAAGCACCUGAGCCAACGUGCCACCGUGUCAGAUAUCAGCGGAGACCAAAGAGCGGUUCGACCACCGUGGAGCAUCCAGCACCAUCAGUAAGUCAGUAAUCUGGAGACCGCCGGACAGAACUUCUGGACCCCGACUCAGCUCGCUGGAACACGAUGCAGACGACCACUGACAGUGCGCAACACCCCAAGCUAAGUGCUUCUCGUUGGGGAG
ensembl:lncRNA